CAACAUCAUAAUGACAUAGAUUCAAGAGAUCUCUGGACAAAAAAAAAUGACAUACAUCCAAACGGGGGAAGAGAUAAGAAUUUGAGAGAAGAGGCUACUGGAGAGGAGGAGAAGGAGAGGAAGUCAUUGGAAAGAAGAUUCAAGAAGAGAAGGAUUUGGGAACAGAGAUGAUGUUUCAGGUGAUGCUGGAGAAGUUUAGAGUGAGGAUGCAUUAGGAAAAACUCUAUGGGAUUUUUUCAAAUAUGUAAUUUUAAGUUGUGAAAUGUUUUGGUUUGUAAUUCUAAAUAGCCUUUUAAGAUUCGAUCUGUAUUUUAAUUAUUACUCUUGACAA